rnacentral:rRNA from 1 species
UCCUAUGGGGGGCAGCAGUAGGGAAUCUUCCGCAAUGGACGAAAGUCUGACGGAGCAACGCCGCGUGAGUGAUGAAGGUUUUCGGAUCGUAAAGCUCUGUUGUUAGGGAAGAACAAGUACCGUUCGAAUAGGGCGGUACCUUGACGGUACCUAACCAGAAAGCCACGGCUAACUACGUGCCAGCAGCCGCGGUAAUACGUAGGUGGCAAGCGUUGUCCGGAAUUAUUGGGCGUAAAGGGCUCGCAGGCGGUUUCUUAAGUCUGAUGUGAAAGCCCCCGGCUCAACCGGGGAGGGUCAUUGGAAACUGGGGAACUUGAGUGCAGAAGAGGAGAGUGGAAUUCCACGUGUAGCGGUGAAAUGCGUAGAGAUGUGGAGGAACACCAGUGGCGAAGGCGACUCUCUGGUCUGUA